GGCUAAGUUAAUAAGGGCAAACGGUGGAUGCCUAGGCACCGAGAGGCGAAGAAAGACGUGGGAAGCUGCGAAAAGCUUCGGGGAGCUGCUAAACAAGCGUCGAUCCGGAGAUGUCUGAAUGGGGAAACCCGUCAUAGGUAAUGCUAUGACACUUACAAAUGAAAAGAUAGUUUGUAAGGGCGAACGAGGCGAACUGAAACAUCUUAGUAGCCUUAGGAAGAGAAAACAAGAGUGAUUAUCUGAGUAGCGGCGAGCGAAAGGGUAGAAGCCUAAACUAUAUGUAUGUUAAAGUCUGACAAUGUUGUACAUAUGGGGUCGAGGGAUAUACUGAGUUAUAAUGUCAGUUAUAACGAGGAGUUAAAAAAUAUGUAGAUAUUCGAAGUGCAUGGGAAGGCACAUCAGAGAAGGUGAUAAUCCUGUAGGAGGAAUUUACAUAUCUUCUUAAGUAUAAGCCCGAGUACUUUGGGACACGAGGAAUCCUGAGGGAAUUAGUGAGGACCAUCUCAUAAGGCUAAAUAUUACUUGGUGACCGAUAGUGAACUAGUACCGUGAGGGAAAGGUGAAAAGUACUCCAAUGCGGAGAGUGAAAAGUACCUGAAACCGUUUGCUUACAAGCAGUGGGAGGGAAUAGGUAUAGCGAUAGAGCUAUACGGGCCUGACCGCGUGCCUUUUGCAUAAUGAGUCAGCGAGUUAUUCUACGCAGCGAGGUUAAGCUGUUAAGUGAAGCCGAAGCGAAAGCGAGUCUGAAUAGGGCGUAAUAGUUGUGUGGAAUAGACCCGAAACCAAGUGAUCUAUCCAUGGCCAGAGUGAAGCGCGAGUAAAAUUGCGUGGAGGCUCGAACUGGUGUAGGUUGAAAACUGCUCGGAUGAGCUGUGGAUAGGGGUGAAAGGCUAAACAAACUUGGAGAUAGCUGGUUCUCCCCGAAAUAUAUUUAGGUAUAGCCUUAUAUGAUUUUUUACGGGGGUAGAGCACUGGAUGGGCUAGGGGUCUUAACGGAUUACCAAACCUAACCAAACUUCGAAUACCGUAAAGAGAGUAUAGGAGUCAGACUACGGGAGCUAAGUUUCGUGGUCGAGAGGGAAAUAGCCCAGACCGUCGGCUAAGGUCCCGGAAUGUACACUAAGUGGUAAAGGAAGUGGAAACGCAGAGACAACCAGGAGGUUGGCUUAGAAGCAGCCAUUCUUUAAAGAAAGCGUAAUAGCUCACUGGUCGAGUGAGUCUGCGCCGAAAAUGUAGCGGGGCUAAGUGUACUACCGAAGCUGCGGGGCUGCGAGAGCAGUUGGUAGGGGAGCAUUGAAUAUUGGUAGAAGUGCGACCGAUAAGGGAGUGUGGACGAUAUUCAAGAGAACAUGCUGACAUGAGUAGCGAUAAAGCGAGUGAAAAACUUGCUCGCCGGAAGCCUAAGGUUUCCUGAGUAAAGUUAAUCUUCUCAGGGUUAGUCGAUCCCUAAGCCGAGGCCGCGAGGCGUAGGUGAUGGAAAACAGGCAAAUAAUCCUGUACCGACUUUAUAUUGUAGUAGCUGCGAGGUUACGAGAGAGAGAGGGGUGACGCAGGAGGGUAGAUCAUCCACCGGCUGGAAGAGGUGGUUUAAGCUAGUAGGCGCUAUGUAUAGGCAAAUCCGUAUAUAGAUACGCCGAGAAGUGAUGAGGAGAGGGCAACCUCGUAAACUGAUUGAUCCCACGCUGCCAAGAAAAACCUCUAUUGAGAUAUAAGGUCGAUCGUACCGCAAACCGACACAGGUAGGCAGGGAGAGAAUCCCGAGGCGCUUGAGAGAACCCUGGUUAAGGAACUCGGCAAAAUGACACCGUAACUUCGGGAGAAGGUGUGCCCUUGGUAAGUAAACUAUUAGACAUAGGGAGCUGAAAGGGGUCGCAGAGAAACGGCGGUAGCGACUGUUUACUAAAAACACAGGACUCUGCAAAAUUGUAAGAUGAGGUAUAGGGUCUGACGCCUGCCCGGUGCCGGAAGGUUAAGGGGAGAUGUUAGGGUGACCGAAGCAUUGAACCGAAGCCCCGGUAAACGGCGGCCGUAACUAUAACGGUCCUAAGGUAGCGAAAUUCCUUGUCGGGUAAGUUCCGACCUGCACGAAUGGCGUAACGACUUCCGCGCUGUCUCAACCAGGGACUCAGCGAAAUUGAAAUGGUGGUGAAGAUGCCAUCUACCCGCGAAAAGACGGAAAGACCCCGGCACCUUUACUAUAGCUUGACAUUGGAUUUUGGGAUAUGAUGUGUAGGAUAGGUGGGAGACGGAGAAGCGACUACGCUAGUAGUUGUGGAGUCAACGUUGAAAUACCACCCUUUAUAUUUUAGGAUUCUAAUUUUAGUACGUGAACCGUACGAAAGACAGUGUCUGGUGGGUAGUUUGACUGGGGCGGUCGCCUCCCAAAGAGUAACGGAGGCGCGCGAAGGUUCCCUCAGACUGAUUGGAAACCAGUCGAUGAGUGUAAAGGCAUAAGGGAGCUUGACUGCGAGAGAGACAUUUCGAGCAGGUACGAAAGUAGGUCUUAGUGAUCCGGCGGUUCUGUAUGGAAGGGCCGUCGCUCAACGGAUAAAAGGUACGCCGGGGAUAACAGGCUUAUCGCCCCCAAGAGUUCACAUCGACGGGGCGGUUUGGCACCUCGAUGUCGGCUCAUCACAUCCUGGGGCUGAAGCAGGUCCCAAGGGUUCGGCUGUUCGCCGAUUAAAGUGGUACGUGAGCUGGGUUUAAAACGUCGUGAGACAGUUUGGUCCCUAUCUUUCGUGGGCGCAGGAUAUUUGAGGAGGUCUGUUUCUAGUACGAGAGGACCGGAAUGGACGAACCGAUGGUGAUCCAGUUGUAACGCCAGUUGCAUAGCUGGGUAGCUAAGUUCGGCAAGGAUAACCGCUGAAAGCAUCUAAGCGGGAAACCAUCUUCGAGAUAAGAUAUCCCUUUGUUCGGAGACGAACAGACACAAGGCCCCUUGUAGACUACGAGGUAGAUAGGCCGGGAGUGUAAGCGUAGUAAUAUGUUGAGCUAACCGGUACUAAUAGGCCGAGCGGCUUAGCCAC
rnacentral:rRNA from 1 species